CAGGACAGCACUAAACCUCCAGCGUGAACUUGAAGUCAGUGAGAGCAGAUACUUAAAAUUGUCACUGACAAAAGAAGGAUCUAAUGGAAACAAAGUACGUGAACAAACACGUUAAAGAAACCUAUGCAGUGGUGAAGAACACAAACUACACACAAAAUCAGUCCUCACUGUAGCAGACUCUGUAGCUCCAGGACAAUGCACUCUGAUGCACCUAAACCCUAAAAAAAAAGAUGAGCCUCCCUCACAUAUGCACUAAAAUAACCCAUCUAAUUUCCUGUGGUUGGCCACGAGAUGGCAGUUUCCCACUGCACAUUCCCAAGAUGAACGGCUUGGCCGGCCUUUCUUGAGGAGUGAGCCACUGCGGCUUCUUCCCGGCAUGGGAAUGACACAAGAUAUGGAUAGUCACUAUGAGAGGAUCCAUCUUCCAAGAUCUUUGCACACUUUAUCCGACUGUGGGAAUAAACCAUGAAGAAAUGCUGGUAGCACUGGCCAUGCUAUAACAGUAAUAAUAAAGGUACAUACUAACAAAGCCACACAAAAUUAAAAUAGUCUCUUUUUCAAGCUAGGCAAUUCUUGAAGGAUUUUUAAAAUUCAGUUCAAAGCUCUUUCCAAUGACUGACAUGUACUCUAUUUCUAGAGUAAAUUUCUGAAGAAUGCUCUAGUGUUUUCAUUUCUUUGGUGAAUUAUUUCACUCUCCUAAUUCCCUAACCCAUGAAAUUAAAGUCUCUGUUUAAUUUAACCUCCCCUGUAGAUUUUAUAAUCAGUCUAUCUAAAGUAAGACUUAAAAUUUUAUCUCCCUUAUUUGAGAAGUCUGUCAUAGCUGUUAAAAGUGUGAAACUGGGCAACAUCCCUUUUCUUAAAAUCUGACUUUCCUACCCUGCUGUAAUCUCCUGUAGCACCCACUUCAGGUGCUGAUCUUGCACUUACUUCCAAGCAUGUACAGAGGCGUUCAAUUCUGAUUCCCACUAGCAAAGCUUUUACAGCUAUGGUUUUGGUUUGGAGGCUGACCUUGCUCUUUAGUGCGGUUUUCAUUGUGUAUUACCCACAUCUAUUUCUAAUUUUUUUUUAAGAGUAGUGUCUUUACCAUGAAGCGCUACUUUGCAGAAUUUAGGAGAAUUACUAAGGCCAAAAUAUGGUAUUUUGUAUAUAUGCAUCUGUUUCAAUGCCUUUAAUAUUUUCUUCUGCAAAAUGUCCUUAGUUCUCUCUGUAGACCAAUAUGAAACAACACUUGAAUCUUCAAUAGCAAGACUUAGCUACCUGGUAAAGGAUAGGACAGGGAAUUGCUGAGCUGAUGAGGGAUGAAAGCUCACAGCAUAUGAGACAUUCCCUAUAGGAGUUCACAGAAAUUACCUGGGGAGGACAAACAGAUCAACAGCCAAGAGGAGUAACUGGAUUUCAGCACAACUUCAGUGCGGCAGCAGCAUUAACUCUGUGGCCUGAGACCUGUACACUGUGGGCUGAAACGUGUUUAAUGCCUGAAGUAACAAAUUAAAGGCACAAGUUAAAAGAUAA